AUUGAACGCUGGCGGAAUGCUUUACACAUGCAAGUCGAACGGCAGCACGGACUUCGGUCUGGUGGCGAGUGGCGAACGGGUGAGUAAUACAUCGGAACGUGCCCAGUCGUGGGGGAUAACGUAGCGAAAGCUACGCUAAUACCGCAUACGAUCUACGGAUGAAAGCGGGGGAUCGCACGACCUCGCGCGAUUGGAGCGGCCGAUGGCAGAUUAGGUAGUUGGUGGGGUAAAGGCCUACCAAGCCGACGAUCUGUAGCUGGUCUGAGAGGACGACCAGCCACACUGGGACUGAGACACGGCCCAGACUCCUACGGGAGGCAGCAGUGGGGAAUUUUGGACAAUGGGCGCAAGCCUGAUCCAGCCAUUCCGCGUGCAGGAUGAAGGCCCUCGGGUUGUAAACUGCUUUUGUACGGAACGAAAAGGCUCUGGUUAAUACCUGGGGCUCAUGACGGUACCGUAAGAAUAAGCACCGGCUAACUACGUGCCAGCAGCCGCCGUAA
rnacentral:rRNA from 1 species